ensembl:lncRNA
CUUCCUUUCCAGAUACUGGCUGACAUCCAGGUGGGUUCUGUGAAUCCUUUUCUAAGCUGAGAGAAGCCUGCAUUCAUUUCUGUCCUUUCUGAAUUAUGCCUUGGCCACCUGUCCUCCCUACUGAAUUGCUGCUCGUCAGGGCUGUCAAACGGCUGCUUUGAGAGGAGACGGCAGGAUGUGUGGAUGUGCGUCAGAUGAAUUGCAGUGGCCAAACAAAAACCAGAAUCACCUGGUUCAAAAAAACACCCUGUCAGUUACUUCUGAAUUAAAACAUAUUUGGCUGGGCGAGUGUGUGCUUCUGUGUACGUACAUGUACGUGUGAAAGAAAGAGAUCUAAGGGAUGCUCAGACUCUGAAGAUGGUGACUUGAUGACUCC